UGAGCCAGCUGGGCGCUCUGGUAUGAUGGAUUUUUAGAAUCCUGGUUCUGAGGGCAGCCUUCUGUGUUUGUGCUGCUGCAUCCUGUUUUUUAAGUGCAGUUUAGCAAAGUUGGUAGGAUGAAUGGAUGACAAGGCUCUAAGAAAGUGAAGUAAUGAAGAUGCUUAUUGUGGCUUCCUGUUAAUAUUCCAAGGCCUGAGGCUCUGAACAGCAGGAUGUCUGUUCUCCAGCUGUUUCUCCAACAGGAAGAAGGGAUAAAGUAAACAAAGCAUACACAGUAGUCCAUUGAAACCACAGCUAGCAUUUUGGCAUCAACUAUUUUGUUGGACCAUGUUUAUGCAUCUAACUCUUUCACCACUAAAUUUGAAGUAGUUGAAGAUGUGACCUUCUCAGAGAAGACACCCCUAGACUGAGAGAGCCAAGUUCCCCCUUGGAGCUCUGACACCACUCAUGAGACACCUUCACAGAUACACCAGGAAGUAACAUUUUACCAGCUAUCUGGGCAACCCUUAGCCCAGUCAAGUUGACAGAAAACUAACCGGCACAGGACCCCUUCUAUCAAGUAAGCAACAGUCUUCUAUCAAGUCAAGAGCAAUUAUCUUCUAUCAAGUCAAGCAGUUAAGCUUGACACCAGAAUUGGAGCACAUGGAAGUAAUUUUGCAAAGUUCUUUUGGUGAUUUUAAGAUGUUUAGAACCACCAAAACUUUGUUAGAUAUCAUGUCAUAAAUUAAUAAAGUCUAUCACAGUAGAUUUCAUAAAGAGGAGAAGUUACUAUAAGAGUUCUGAAUGAUCUCAAUUAAUUUAUAAUUACAGGUUAUAAAUUAUUGCAACUAAUGAAAAGAAGUAAGGAAACAUGUGAAUUCAACUUUUAGUAGAACUAAACUUUAACAUUCUUUUCUUUCCCACUUCUCCACUCUUGCCACCACCACCUCCUCCCAACA